rnacentral:rRNA from 1 species
GACGAACGCUGGCGGCGUGCCUAAUACAUGCAAGUCGAACGGUCUUUUCUAUGGAAGCUUGCUUCCACUGAGAAGAUAGUGGCGAACGGGUGAGUAACACGUGGGUAACCUGCCCAUAAGAGGGGGAUAACAUCCGGAAACGGGUGCUAAUACCGCAUAGUUUUCUUGAUCGCAUGAUUGAGAAAGGAAAGACGGCCUUUGCGCUGUCGCUUAUGGAUGGACCCGCGGCGUAUUAGUUAGUUGGUGAGGUAACGGCUCACCAAGACGAUGAUACGUAGCCGACCUGAGAGGGUGAUCGGCCACAUUGGGACUGAGACACGGCCCAAACUCCUACGGGAGGCAGCAGUAGGGAAUCUUCCGCAAUGGACGAAAGUCUGACGGAGCAACGCCGCGUGAGUGAAGAAGGUUUUCGGAUCGUAAAACUCUGUUGGAUGGGAACAAUAACUCCGACUUGUCGGAACUUGAGGGUACCAUCAGAAUAAGCACCGGCUAACUCCGUGCCAGCAGCCG